UAGUAAUCAAUUAAGGACCUCCGGUUAGUACGAAAGGACCGCUGGGGAUGAUUCCAUGGUGUACCUAUUGUUUUAUAGCCCCGUAGGGUAGCCACAAUCAUGACAGAUAAGCGCUGAAAGCAUCUUAAGCACGAAGCACACCUUAUUAGAUUACUUGAAAUAAGAAGUAGACUACUUCUGAAUAAUAUAUUCUAGAAUCGAGUAAUCCUUUGGAUGGCGGGUUUUAGAAUAUUAUUAUUACAUAGGGUGCAAAUGUACGUAUAGUAAUAUAUUUAGUUUAGCACUACUAAUUUAUUGA
rnacentral:ncRNA from 1 species